CGACGGAGCUACACCCGCUAGUUCAGCCAGGAGGCCCUGCGCGGCUCCGGGGAGAGCUGGGUGGUUAUGCCACCUCAUUAGACACAUUGGUGGACGAUGCCGCGGAUUAGCGGGUGCGAGUGAUUCAAGGAAAUCCGACUGGAGGGAACACACGCUGCGAUGCACCCUCUCCUCUUCCAUUGAGCCAGGGGUGACCUUGAGAGACUCAGGCCACCUCACCAGGCUCUACCAGGAACAGCGUCUACAGCUGGUAGAGAGCACGGGCUGCAGAGAGAAAUCAAUACAGAACUCUGGAACCCACUGCUUUAGAAGAUAAGAAUCUCUUUCCUGCUCCGAUCAUUCUGGCUUGCCUUGGAUUUAAGGCUCUUCCAGAAGGACCUGGCCCUGAUUCACUGGGAUAAUGUCCACCAUGUCCAGGGGCACUGCCCAGAGGGGGUACUUUUCAUAUUCUCUACCAACUAAUCUUCCACCUGCCAGCCUAGGGGGCAGUGAGUGGAGAACGCUGGGAAUUCAGGGUUGGGGAGGAGGGACAGCAACAGGAAAAGAUUGAACAUAUGUGCCAAUUAGGCCAGGAGAUGAGGACCCCAGACCCGGAAGAAGGAGGAAGAAGAAAGACACACUUGAUCUUCCUGCUUAGAAUGUUGGCAGAAGUCAUAUUCAAAAGAUAAGAGAAUCAAGACUUAUGAAACAAAAGAAAACCAAAGAAAGGCAACACGGCCGAUGCUAGGUGGGGAUUACUAGCUAGUAAAGAGCUGUCGAGUGUUUGAUGCCAUUUAUUCAUUUGAGCUCUCCAGUUGCCUAGUUUUUCAUUCAACAAGUGUCGUCUGAAGGUGUUGUGUGGACAGAACGUUGUGUGGGAUCCAAAGCUGAAACAGAUACUUAAGUCUGUGCUCUAGUAAAUAAGAUAGGACACGCAUAUUUACCCCACAGGGAGCAAUAAAUACUCUAAGACCAUUACAAAUUGUUCUGGGAGUUCAGAGGAGGGAAUUUAUUUCUAGUCCAGAGCAAUGAAGGGUGACCUCCUGGAGGAAGUGGCAGUUGAAUGGGGGCCUUGAAGGAUGGGUGAGAUUUAAACAUGCAAACUAUCAGCAAGGGAAACGGGAGAGCAACGCAGGAGCAAACAUCAAGAUGGGAAAACACAAAGCAUGUAGGGGAAACACAAAUGCAAUAUUUUGUAUUAUGGGCGAGGCUCUACAAGAGGCACUGGAUUGCAAUGGGACUAUUGUUUCCAGGGGCCCUCUGGGCUGGUGGUCAAACUACUGGAACUAUCACUAUUUCAGACCAAGCCGGGCUCACAAGUCUUAGCUGUUCUUGCCAAUUCUUCUCCUGAAUACUCACUCCAAUAAGAGCAGUCAGGAAAUGUUUCUUGGGAAAUAGCUUCAAAGACACCAACAUACCACUAUGAACACUUAAAAUAUGGAGACAGAGCAUUUGGAGUACUGCUCCCAGCAUGUUGGAGGGAAAAGAAGCAAGACCCUUCCCAGAGCCUUGAGACAAGAGUUGUGUCAACUGUGGAUGGCUGUGCCCCAGUCACUUGAGAGACAUGAAUCAAUUUCCAGCUGCAUUUAUCACUUGCUGCCUUAAAUCAAGUCUAAUCAAUGCUUCCUUCAUUUGGUAUGGAUUGAAACUAUAUAUAACACACUCAGAAAACAGGAGAGAAAAGCAGCAGAUCACAAAAAUUCCAUCAGGGAUUUAGAUGGAAUGAUGUUAGAGAAACAUUUGCAAUCUUUCAUUUGCUCUAAUGGAGACCCCUGACCAAACAAUCAGAGAUUUGCGUUUAUGAAGCUUCAUUUGAAUUUACCUGACAUGCAAUGACAUUCCAUGACAGGUCAUUUGAUACAUUGGGGGGGGGGGGUGGUUUCUGCAUCUUUAAGGAUUUUAUAAUUAAUACACUCUUAGGAUCUGAUGUAUAUUUAUAAUUUUAUUCCUAUACUAAGUUUUAAACUCAUUUCCAUUUAUUUUAGAGAUAUCUGUUUUGUCAUCAUUGACUAUAUAAGUCAAUUUCCAGUUAUAACAUAUAAAGUAAUAAAAAUCCCUUUG
rnacentral:lncRNA from 10 species